rnacentral:tmRNA from 1 species
GACCUUUUCAUUAAUCGCGGAUGCCCUAUAUGGGUUCUUGCCGGGUUCGCUCGGCUAUGGGGAUAAACGACGGCGUGCAAUAGAUGCAGCGGACGCGGGGGCAGUACCCGCCGGCUCCACCAUAAGCGGUGGUGGCUCUGGACACCGUUUCUGACGGGGCCGAACCAGGAUCGACGUGUGUUGAAAAGCGCCGACUAUUUCCCAGCGUGGGCCACUGUGACGGCCUGAAACACAAGUGCCAACGAUAACGAAGCACUCGCUAUUGCGGCGUAACCCCACGGCUUAACGGCCUAAGGUUAUUCUAAAAUGCGCGGUUGGACCGCACCGGGCAACAGAAGCGGAUUCCAGCGGUACGGGGGGCACCGGGCAACAGAAGCCCCCCACU